CCUAUCUACAUGAGAACUGGCAACUCUAAUUUACCCCGAAGCCUUUCUGCAGGAGAUUCAAAUAUUUGCUAAUGCUUACUGAUACCUUCACUGGUUAGAUCGAGGCAUUCCCCACCCCAUCUGAAAAAUGUUUACCAGAAGAAAUAACUCCUCAGUUUGGGUAAUCCAAAAGCCUGUAAAGUGACAAUGGCCCAGCUUUCACAGCAGGUGUAACCCAACACCUAUCCUCAGCUUUAAGAAUCCAAUAUUACCUUCACUCUGCUGGAGACCGCAGUCCUCUGGAAAGGUGAAAGGGCUAAUCCUAAAGAAGACUCUAGCUAAAUCAGAGGCCUGACUAUCUCUAAUACCCAUAGCUUACUGCGGGUUUGAACUGCUCCAAAGUAAAACGUAUAAUUAAGUCCUGUUGAGUUAACAUGUGGAAGGCCUUUCCUAACGACAGAUCUCCUAAUAGAUGAAAAGACUCAUCAAUUACAAAAAUAUGUCAUCAAUCUGGGACAGGUGCAAAGGCACUCUGAAUAUGGAAACAAGCGUCUUCCCCUCCCACAUGGGAGGAAAAUUCAGUUUCAGCUCAGCUAGGGAUUUAGUCUUACUAAAGACGUGGGAGGAAGUUCUCCAGCUGAGCAGCUUUCCCCAACGUGGAAGGGACCACGCAAGGACACCUGAGUUCUCCAACAGACGUUCAACGCCAGGGGAUUCACAGUUCUGGGAGGUGAUCUCUGAUGAACAUGCCAUCGACUCCGCUGGCACCUACCACGGGGACAGCCACCUGCCGCUGGAGCGCGUCAACGUGCACCACCGCGAGGCCAGCGGUGCGACCCCCGUCCUUCCCCCACCGCCCUCCUGGGAACGCGGCCCUCCCCUCGCUCAUGCCCUCCCGCCCCACGCAGGUGGCAGGUCAGUGUGGGGCCGGAAACAACUGGGCCAAGGGACGCUACACCGAAGGCGCGGAGCUGAUGGAGUCAGUGAUGGACGUUGUCAGAAAGGAGGCUGAGAGCUGUGACUGCCUGCAGGGUUUCCAGCUGACCCACUCCCUGGGUGGGGGGACUGGGUCUGGGAUGGGUACCCUUCUCAUUAGUAAGAUCCGGGAGGAGUACCCAGACAGGAUUAUAAACACAUUGAGCAUCCUGCUCUUGCCCAAGGUGUCAGACACGGUGGUGGAGCCCUACAACGCCACCCUCUCAGUCCACCAGCUCAUAGAAAACGCAGAUGAGACCUUCUGCAUAGAUAACGAAGCGCUAUAUGACAUAUGUUCCAAGACCCUAAAACUGCCCACACCCAUCUAUGGUGACCUGAACCACCUGGUGUCUGCUACCAUGAGUUGGGGUCACCACGUACCUGCGCUUCCCGGGCCAGCUGAAUGCUGACCUGAGGAAGCUGGCCGUGAACAUGGUCCCGUUUCCCCGGCUGCAUUUCUUCAUGCCCGGCUUUGCCCCACUGACCAGCCGGGGCAGCCAGCAGUACCGGGCCUUGACUGUGGCUGAGCUCACCCAGCAGAUGUUUGAUGCUAAGAACAUGAUGGCUGCCUGUGACCCCCGUCAUGGCCGCUACCUAACGGUGGCUGCCAUUUUCAGGGGUCGCAUGCCCAUGAGGGAGGUGGAUGAACAGAUGUUCAACAUUCAAGAUAAGAACAGCAGCUACUUUGCUGACUGGCUCCCCAACAACGUAAAAACAGCCGUCUGUGACAUCCCACUCCGGGGGCUAAAAAUGUCAGCCACCUUCAUUGGGAAUAAUACGGCCAUCCAGGAACUCUUCACAUGUGUCUCAGAGCAGUUUACAGCAAUGUUCAGGCGCAAGGCCUUCCUCCACUGGUACACAGGCGAGGGCAUGGAUGAGAUGGAAUUCACCGAGGCCGAGAGCAACAUGAAUGACCUGGUGUCUGAAUAUCAGCAAUAUCAGGAUGCCACGGCCGAGGAGGAGGAUGAGGAGUAUGCCGAGGAGGAGGUGGCCUAGAACUCUCCUUUUCUAGGUAAAGUGGGGAAGCAGUGUGGAUUCUUUACUGUGUUCUGACAGCCAUGUGUCACUGUGCGCUUGUUCAUUUGUGUCUUCACAUCUCCUGCUGCAUUUUAAAGCAUUUGUAUAGUAUGCGGUUUUGCCUAAUAAAGUGUUCUCACAGCA
ensembl:lncRNA novel transcript